rnacentral:tRNA from 1 species
GGGCCGCUAGCUCAAUUGGCUAGAGCAACUCCCUCUUAAGGAGUAGGUUCUCGGUUCGAUCCCGAGGCGGCUCACUA